rnacentral:rRNA from 1 species
CGGUUGUCAGCAAUGGCAAUAGUGGCGCACGGGUGCGUAACGCGUAACCAACCUACCCGAAUCUGGGGGAUAGCCCGCCGAAAGGCGGAUUAAUACCGCAUAAAACUGCAGGACGGCAUCGUUUAACAGUUAAAGAUUUAUUGGAUUCGGAUGGGGUUGCGUGCCAUUAGCUAGUUGGGGGGGUAACGGCCCACCAAGGCGACGAUGGCUAGGGGAGCUGAGAGGCUGGUCCCCCACACGGGCACUGAGAUACGGGCCCGACUCCUACGGGAGGCAGCAGUAGGGAAUAUUGGGCAAUGGUCGAGAGACUGACCCAGCCAUGCCGCGUGCAGGAUGAAGGCUUUCUGAGUCGUAAACUGCUUUUGCCAGGGAAAAAAAAAGGGGAUGCGUCCUCUACUGACGGUACCUGGUGAAUAAGCACCGGCUAACUCCGUGCCAGCAGCCGCGGUAAUACGGAGGGUGCAAGCGUUGUCCGGAUUUAUUGGGUUUAAAGGGUGCGUAGGCGGCUUUUUAAGUCUGGGGUGAAAGCCCGUUGCUCAACAACGGAACUGCCCUGGAAACUGGAGAGCUUGAGUACAGACGAGGGUGGCGGAAUGGAUACUGUAGCGGUGAAAUGCAUAGAUAGUAUCCAGAACCCCGAUUGCGAAGGCAGCUGCCUAGACUGUAACUGACGCUGAGGCACGAAAGCGUGGGGAGCGAACAGGAUUAGAUACCCUGGUA